rnacentral:tRNA from 1 species
GGUCUGGUGGUCUAGCUCGGUUAUGACGUCCCGCUGACUUCGGGAAGAUCCCAAGUUCAAAUCUUGGCCAGACCA